UUACGUUCUAUAAUAGAUUUGUCCUUGGACAUUAAAAAUAUCAUCAAGGGCAAUGAAUAUGUCUUAACAUAUGGGAUCAAUUGUUGUAUCAAAUUCAAAAAACCACCAUUUGAAAAAUUUGACCCUGGCUAAGAUAAACAUCAGUGAACAAUAUAUUAUAAGGAAAACUCUGUACAAGAUACUAGAAAUGCUAAAAGAUGACCAAGAAACUUUUACACAAGUCAGGCUAUUAGACAACAAUCCCUUGUAAUACAGAGAAAGACUUGGAACACUAUAAUGGAAUAGCUUAGAUUUGCAAACAUCCGUAAACAAAGGAAAAAAUCUUAAAAGGUAAAAAAGUAAUAUAAUGUAUUUAUGUCUGUUAAGUUAGCACCCUCCAUAAAA